GACGAACGCUGGCGGCGUGCUUAACACAUGCAAGUCGAACGGAAAGGCUCCAGCUUGCUGGAGUACUCGAGUGGCGAACGGUUGAGUAACACGUGGGUAAUCUGCCCUGCACUCUGGGAUAAGCCUGGGAAACUGGGUCUAAUACUGGAUAUGACCUUUCUCCUUAUGGGGUUUGUUGGAAAGUUUUUCGGUGUAGGAUGAGCCCGCGGCCUAUCAGCUUGUUGGUGGGGUGAUGGCCUACCAAGGCGACGACGGGUAGCCGGCCUGAGAGGGUGAUCGGCGACAUUGGGACUGAGAUACGGCCCAGUCUCGUAUGGGAGGCAGCAGGGGGGAAUAUUACACAAUGGGCGGAAGCCUGAUGCAGCGACGCCGCGUGAGGGAUGACGGCCUUCGGGGUGUAAACCGCUUUCAGCAGGGACGAAGCGUAAGUGACGGUACCUGCAGAAGAAGCACCGGCUAACUACGUG
rnacentral:rRNA from 1 species